UACGUAGGGGCUAGCGUUGUCCGGAUUUAUUGGGCGUAAAGAGCGUGUAGGCGGCCAGAUAGGUCUGCUGUGAAAACUCGAGGCUCAACCUCGAGAUGUCGGCGGAAACCAUUUGGCUAGAGUCCGGAAGAGGAAAGUGGAAUUCCUGGUGUAGCGGUGAAAUGCGCAGAUAUCAGGAGGAACACCGGUGGCGAAGGCGGCGACCUGGGUAGAUACUGACGCUGAGGCGCGAAAGCGUGGGGAGCA
rnacentral:rRNA from 1 species